rnacentral:rRNA from 1 species
AACGCGAAGAACCUUACCUGGGCUUGAACCGCACAGGACCAUCUUUGGAAACAGAGACUUCCCGCAAGGGACCUGUGUAGAGGUGCUGCAUGGCUGUCGUCAGCUCGUGCCGUGAGGUGUUGGGUUAAGUCCCGCAACGAGCGCAACCCUUACUCAUAGUUGCUACCUGCAAGGGAGAACUCUAUGAGGACUGCUCCGGAUAACGGAGAGGAAGGUGGGGAUGAGGUCAAGUCAGCAUGGCCUUUAUGUCCAGGGCUACACACGUGUUACAAUGCGCACCACAAAGCGUCGCAAACCCGCGAGGGGGAGCUAAUCGCAAAAAAGUGCGCUCAGUUCGGAUUGCAGUCUGCAACUCGACUGCAUGAAGCUGGAAUCGCUAGUAAUGGCGCAUCAGAACGGCGCCGUGAAUACGUUCCCGGGCCUUGUA